GACGAACGCUGGCGGCGUGCUUAACACAUGCAAGUCGAGCGAUGAAGCUCCUUCGGGAGUGGAUUAGCGGCGGACGGGUGAGUAACACGUGGGUAACCUGCCUCAUAGAGGGGAAUAGCCUUCCGAAAGGAAGAUUAAUACCGCAUAAAAUUGUAGCUUCGCAUGAAGCAGCAAUUAAAGGAGCAAUCCGCUAUGAGAUGGACCCGCGUCGCAUUAGCUAGUUGGUGAGGUAACAGCUCACCAAGGCGACGAUGCGUAGCCGACCUGAGAGGGUGAUCGGCCACAUUGGGACUGAGACACGGCCCAGACUCCUACGGGAGGCAGCAGUGGGGAAUAUUGCACAAUGGGGGAAACCCUGAUGCAGCAACGCCGCGUGAGUGAUGACGGUCUUCGGAUUGUAAAACUCUGUCUUCAGGGACGAUAAUGACGGUACCUGAGGAGGAAGCCACGGCUAACUACGUGCCAGCCGCCGCAGUAA
rnacentral:rRNA from 1 species